rnacentral:rRNA from 1 species
GACGAACGCUGGCGGCGCGCUUAACACAUGCAAGUCGAGCGAAGCGGCGGACGGGUGAGUAACACGUGAGUAACCUGCCUUAGACAUUGGGAUAGCCUCGGGAACCCGGGAUUCAUACCAAAUGGUCUAAGAUGGACUCGCGUCCCAUUAGCUAGUUGGUGGGUCACGGCCCACCAAGGCGCCGAUGGGUAGCCGGCAUGAGAGGGUGAACGGCCACAUUGGAACGGAGAAACGGUCGAAAAUCUACGGGAGGCAGCAGUGGGGAAUAUUGCACAAGGGAGGGAACUGUGAUGCAGAGAGGCCGCGUGAACGAAGAAGGCUUUCGAGUCGUAAAGUUCUUUUAUAUGGGAAGCGGUACCAUAAGAAAAAGCCCCGGCUAACUACGUGCCAGCAGCCGCGGUAAUUC